rnacentral:rRNA from 1 species
AUUGAACGCUGGCGGCAGGCCUAACACAUGCAAGUCGAACGAGUGGCGGACGGGUGAGUAAUGUCUGGGAAACUGCCUGAUGGAGGGGGAUAACUACUGGAAACGGUAGCUAAUACCGCAUACCAUCGGAUGUGCCCAGAUGGGAUUAGCUUGUUGGUGGGGUAACGGCUCACCAAGGCGACGAUCCCUAGCUGGGCUGAGAGGAUGACCAGCCACACUGGAACUGAGGCACGGGCCCGACUCCGACGGGAGGCAGCAGUGGGGAAUAUGGCACAAUGGGCGCAAGACUGAUGCAGCCAUGCCGCGUGUAUGAAGAAGGCCUUCGGGUUGUAAAGUACUUUCAGCGGGGAGGCGUUAACCGCAGAAGAAGCACCGGCUAACUCCGGGCCAGCAGCCGCGGUAAUAC